CGAUUGCCCAAGCAUUUACUUGGAGAAAUGUUUUGGGAUAUAUAUUGUAAUCGUUGACUUUGAAGUGUGAAAUGACUUCCCUUGGAAGUAGAAGAGGAGCAGGAGGGUGUAAUCUCAGAGUUUCUUUGAUUAUCAUAUUCAGUUUGGAAUUCCUUAUAAGUUCUGCCAUCGCCCAGAUUACAGUAAUUGCACCAGUGUCUAUUGCUCCCAAGAAGAUAUUCUGAUAUACAAUUAGCAUCAUUGGUAAGUAGAAGGGAAUCUGGAUUCAAUAUUGAUAACCGGAAAUUCAUAGUCUAUAUAUGCAUUUGUAUAUAUCUUUUUAUGUACAUAUGAUAGAUUUAAUAACUGUCUAGUUAGAUAUAGAGAUUAAGUAUUAAAGAGGGCUCAUCAAUGCAACAGCAUAUCCAUGGUGUUUAAAAGAUAGCAGCAGAACAUUGAGUGCAGGAUAUAUAAAUUUUGGCAGCUUACCAGGAGGACGCCUUUGAUAUUAUCUUUUAUGCAAUAUGAUCUUCGAUUACAUGUUCGAAGAAAGAAUCCAUCUUGUGGAAAACUCUGUCAAGCCGCGCUUGGUGACCGGUAAGCCUGUCAACAAUCCAACCUACAUAUGGCAAGUAUUCUUGUGCGGAAAAGCUC